rnacentral:rRNA from 1 species
AAGUGCUAGCGUUAUUCACAUAAUUGGGUGUAAGGGUUCGUAUACGGUAAUUUAAAUUAAAAAGUAAAAUUUUAAAAUUCCAUUUUAAAAAAUUUUUUAAAACUAUUUUACUUGGGUUUUAUUCAAAAAAGCAGAAUGGUGUAAGUAAAAGUCAAAUUUUUUAGAUAUGCACAGGAAUACCAAUUGCGAAGGCAGCUUUUUAGAAAAGACUGACGUACCGGAACGAAGGUUUGGGUAGCAAACAGAAUUAGAUACUCUGGUAGUCCAAAAAACAGUAAAUACUGAGUGUUAAAAUUUAACUUUGUGUUAGAUUAUGUAGCUAACGCUAAAUAACACUUCACCUGAAAACUAUUAACGCAAGUUUAAAAUUCAAAGAAAUUGACGGGAGCUAAUACUAGUGGUGGAGCAUGUGGUUUAAUUCGAUAUUCCACGCAAAAUCUUACCAAUUCUUGACACGAAGAAAGGGCCUUCAACAAGCACUUUUGACAGGUGUUGCACGGCUGUUGUAAGUUUGUGCUGUGAGGUGUUUGAUUAAUUUCUUUAACAGACGGAACUUUUAUUUUUAAGUUUAUACUUUUAUUUACUACAAAAAACUGUCACCUGUUUUUGUUUAAUAACUUUAAAAAAACCGAUAAUGAUAAAUUAAAGGAAGGAAAAAACUAAUUCAAGUCAUUGUGACCCUAAUGAAUUGGGCUACACACGUGCUACAAUGGAAACUACAAUAAGUUAUGCAAAUUAAACAUUCUAAUUAAUCUAUCUAAAAGUUUCCCUAGUUCAAGUUGUAAACUGAAACUCGUUUACAUAAAGCUGGAAUCACUAGUAAUCGCAAAUCAGAACUGUUGCGGUGAAUACGUUAAUUGGCUUUGUACAUACCGCCCGUCACAUGCAAAAAGUUAACUUUUUUUGAAGGUUUUUCAAAAAAUCAAUCUAAAAGAUAAC